AGAUUGAACGCUGGCGACAUGCCUUACACAUGCAAGUCGAACGGUAGAGUAGCAAUACUUGAGAGUGGCGAACGGGUGAGUAAUAUAUCGGAACGUGCCCAGUCGUGGGGGAUAACGUAGAGAAAUUUACGCUAAUACCGCAUACGAUCUAAGGAUGAAAGCGGGGGACCGUAAGGCCUCGCGCGAUUGGAGCGGCUGAUAUCAGAUUAGGUUGUUGGUGAGGUAAAAGCCCACCAAGCCGACGAUCUGUAGCUGGUUUGAGAGAACGACCAGCCACACUGGGACUGAGACACGGCCCAGACUCCUACGGGAGGCAGCAGUGGGGAAUUUGGACAAUGGGCGAAAGCCUGAUCCAGCAAUGCCGCGUGCAGGAAGAAGGCCUUCGGGUUGUAAACUGCUUUGUACGGAACGAAACGGUCUGCUUUAAUACAGUGGCUAAUGACGGUAACCGUAAAGAAUAAGACACCGGCUAACUACGUGACCAGCAGCCGC
rnacentral:rRNA from 1 species